UACGUAGGGUGCGAGCGUUGUCCGGAUUUAUUGGGCGUAAAGAGCUCGUAGGCGGUUUGUCGCGUCGGCCGUGAAAGUCCGGGGCUCAACUCCGGAUCUGCGGUGGGUACGGGCAGACUAGAGUGAUGUAGGGGAGACUGGAAUUCCUGGUGUAGCGGUGAAAUGCGCAGAUAUCAGGAGGAACACCGGUGGCGAAGGCGGAUCUCUGGGCCGUAACUGACGCUGAGGAGCGAAAGCAUGGGUAGCGAACAGG
rnacentral:rRNA from 1 species